CCUACGGGGGGCUGCAGUGGGGAAUAUCGCACAAUGGGCGCAAGCCUGAUGCAGCCAUGCCGCGUGUGUGAAGAAGGCCUUCGGGUUGUAAAGCACUUUCAGCGGGGAGGAAGGCGGUGAGGUUAAUAACCUCAUCGAUUGACGUUACCCGCAGAAGAAGCACCGGCUAACUCCGUGCCAGCAGCCGCGGUAAUACGGAGGGUGCAAGCGUUAAUCGGAAUUACUGGGCGUAAAGCGCACGCAGGCGGUCUGUCAAGUCGGAUGUGAAAUCCCCGGGCUCAACCUGGGAACUGCAUUCGAAACUGCCAGGCUAGAGUCUUGUAGAGGGGGGUAGAAUUCCAGGUGUAGCGGUGAAAUGCGUAGAGAUCUGGAGGAAUACCGGUGGCGAAGGCGGCCCCCUGGACAAAGACUGACGCUCAGGUGCGAAAGCGUGGGGAGCAAACAGGAUUAGAUACCCGAGUAGUC
rnacentral:rRNA from 1 species